rnacentral:rRNA from 1 species
GAUGAACGCUAGCUACAGGCUUAACACAUGCAAGUCGAGGGGCAGCAUGGUCUUAGCUUCCUAAGGCCGAUGGCGACCGGCGCACGGGUGAGUAACACGUAUCCAACCUGCCGUCUACUCUUGGACAGCCUUCUGAAAGGCAGAUUCAUACAAGAUGGCAUCAUGAGUCCGCAUGUUCACAUGAUUAAAGGUAUUCCGGUAGACGAUGGGGAUGCGUUCCAUUAGAUAGUAGGCGGGGGAACGGCCCACCUAGUCUUCGAUGGAUAGGGGUUCUGAGAGGAAGGCCCCCCAGAUUGGAGCUGAGACACAGUCCAAACUCGUACGGGAGGCAGCAGAGAGGAAGAUUAGUCAAUGGGCGAGAGCCUGAACCAGCCAAGUAGCGUGAAGGACGACUGCGCUAUGGGUUGUAAACUUCUUUUAUAAAGGAAUAAAGUCGGGUAUGGAUACCCGUUUGCAUGUACUUUAUGAAUAAGGAUCGGCUAACUCCGUG